rnacentral:rRNA from 1 species
UACGGGGGGAGCAAGCGUUGUUCGGAUUUACUGGGCGUAAAGGGCGCGUAGGCGGCCACCGCAAGUCGACUGUGAAAUCUCCGGGCUUAACCCGGAAAGGUCAGCCGAUACUGCGGGGCUAGAGUGCAGAAGGGGCAACUGGAAUUCUCGGUGUAGCGGUGAAAUGCGUAGAUAUCGAGAGGAACACCUGCGGCGAAGGCGACUACCUGGCCUGUUCUUGACGCUGAGGCGCGAAAGCUAGGGGAGCAAACGGG